CCUCAUGCAUAAUUCACCAUCACAUUAUCCUGGGGAAGGGACUUACAGUAGGUUGUGACAGCCUGGCAAGGAAGAUGGCGGCUGCAGAGUUCGGACCACAGGAUUGUGAUAAUUUAUCGAGGACUAUUGGAAGACAAAUCAACAACAUGGAGGCCAGGACCUCAGAAGAAAUACGAUAGAGACAACUACAGUUCCUAAUCUAUUUAUAAAAUUAUCUACGGAGGACCAACAAGCUGUUUCUAUUUUACAACAACUAGCUGGUGAAGAAGAUGAAAUAUCUACCUGAUUCAGACCAAUCUGUAGAAGAAAGGGUACUUUUUGUCCACAGACAAA